rnacentral:lncRNA from 1 species
AUGAAAAGCAGAUUAAAGGGAUGCAUAUGGAAUGAACUGAGACCCCUGAGUUACAACAGAACUACGGAAGUUGUCCACAGUACCGUUCCAAGAAUAGCCAGUGUCCAUAACAGAGGAGGCUCGCUCAUCUUCAGAAGGAGGAAAAGCAUCUGGGUGGCCAUGGCAGGUACCAGGUCAUGUGGAUCCAGAGUGACAGGAACGUGUGGUAAGAAACGUGCUUACCUUUCCAGAGCCAAAAACUCUUCCUUCAGUGGCUGAGUGCUGAUGAAAUGUUUACAAACCAUUCAGCCGUACCCUCUGCCUCUGGAAGGUUCCCUCCUUCCCCCUGUGGUAGACGUGCAGGCAGGAGGGCUCUCGGUGCGUGGGGAUGCAAAGCAGGAGCCUGGCAUGCGUGUCGCUUCCCCUCCCUGUGCCUCGCUGCCCUCCAGGCGUUAUUUGGAGGAUCCCAGCUGUACUCCUGGUUCCUAGAACAAGGCCUGGCAAACAGACACCAGUGAGUACCCUUUAGAUGAGCACAUGGGGAGACAGAAGUAUGAAGCUACUGGCCAGGCACGGUGGCUCACACCUGUAAUCCCAGCACUUUGGGAGGCCAAGGCGGGUGGAUAACGAGGUCAGGAGAUCGAGACCAUCCUGGCUAACAUGGUGAAACCCCGUCUCCACUAAAAACACAAAAAAUUAGCUGGGCGUGGUGGCAGGUGCCUGUAGUCCCAGCUACUCGGGAGGCUGAGGCAGGAGAAUGGUGUGAACCUGGGAGGCAGAGCUUGCAGUGAGCUGUGAUCGCACCACUGCACUCCAGCCUGGGCGACAGAGUGAGGCUCCGUCUCAAAAAAAAAAAAGUGGGAAGCUACUGAAAACGGGUCCACAGGAACGCAGGUCUGGUAAUCAGGUUACAGUUAAACACCCCAAGUGCGAUAUGAGCCUCAAUAUACUUCCUCCCUCGGGCAUUUUCAGGAAUGAAGGAGCACCAAUUAUGAGCAGUGCACAGAGAAGUCCAGCCCUUCACGGCUUGGGGUGGUCCUUGGUGCCCCUGUACCGGAAGUGGUGCGUGCCAGCUCUGCAGGACUUUAGCAACCCCCACCCCAAGUCUUCAUCCGCUUCCCUAGGCCUUCAUAUGAACAUAGCUGGUUAGCAUUUAACUGUGGAGAAGAAGAGCGUUAGAGAUGUGAAGGCUUCCACGUACAUUAAGAAGAAAUCCCAGCUCUGGCAGAGGUGAUC